CUUAGCCUACCAUGGCCGACCAGAGACAGCGCUCCCUGUCUACCUCCGGGGAAUCGCUGUACCACGUCCUGGGCCUGGACAAGAAUGCGACCUCGGAUGACAUUAAAAAGUCCUAUCGGAAACUGGCCUUGAAGUACCACCCAGACAAGAACCCCGAUAACCCGGAGGCCGCGGAGAAGUUCAAGGAGAUCAACAGCGCCCAUGCCAUCCUGACGGAUGCCACGAAGAGAAACAUCUACGACAAGUACGGCUCGCUGGGGCUGUACGUGGCCGAGCAGUUCGGGGAGGAGAACGUCAACACCUACUUCGUGCUCUCCAGCUGGUGGGCCAAGGCCCUGUUCGUCGUCUGCGGGCUCCUCACCUGCUGCUACUGCUGCUGCUGCCUGUGCUGCUGCUUCAACUGCUGCUGCGGGAAGUGCAAGCCUCGGGCGCCCGAGGGCGAGGAACCCGAGUUCUACGUGUCCCCCGAGGACCUGGAGGCUCAGCUGCAGUCCGACGAGCGGGGAGGGCACUGACACUGGGCCGGGAGUGUUUGUGGUGGCAGCUGGGCCUGUUGAGGUGUGACGUGGAACCUGGAGAGGCCACAGACACGCCAAUCGUCAUCCAGCCGGCGUCCGCCACAGAGACCACCCAGCUCACGGCCGACUCCCACCCCAGCUACCACACCGACGGGUUCAAUUAAGUCCAGGAGGAGCUGUGAUUAGAGGAUAAGUCAGCACCCGGCCACUCAACCUUAGAAUCAUGAACUGUAGUCACAGAGAUGGGGCAGGCGCUGCCCUGGCCCUGGAGGGGCCGCGCCAGCCUGCCUCUGUGCCCGCCCAUCCGUCGACCCCCAACACGUGAAGUGCGUAGCAUGCAGUAUUUAAAGCAGUUUAGCUACGGUCUUCUUUUUCCGUUGUUUUCCUUUUUUAAUAGCAUGUGUGGGGUUAUGUUCCAUGUCUGUCUGUGUUGUGGGCGUCCUGGGGCCACGGACCACAUUCACCAGACCGGGAGCUGCCUCGGCUUGGUCAGGUCGUUGCUGUGGGUUGUCGGCCUCGUGGCCGAACGGGCCCUCCGUUCCCCUGUGUUCAGGGGCCUGAGGCAGGCGCUGCCUGGCGGCGGCUGUGGACUCAGCCUCCUGCCUUCUGCUCGCUGACUGUGUGGCCACCGGCAGGGCCUCUGGACUCACCUGCCAGGAGGGAGCUGGGCCUACCCGCCCUGCCAACAGCACUUCCAUGGCAUCCGUAUUGAGGACAGUUUUGUGAGAUCUGGUCACCUCGUUUGUUUGGCCUUGUGGCAGGGUGCUUCCCGUUUGGGUUUGUUGUGGACAGCGUAGGAGGCUCUCCUGGUCCUGAGACCAUAUUCCCUGCCCGUGUCUGACCUGAGGCCCCUGUCCUUCAAGUGUGCCCUCGCCAGGCAUGGGAAGGUUCCUGCACUUUCCAAUGGCCCCGAGCUGGGUUGACAGGCCCUCCCGGCAGCCUCCACUCUCCCCUUCCCCUCAUCUCCUCCACAUUCCUUCAGGCCCCCCGGCCUUGUAUCUGUGUUUGGACCUCUAAGAACCACAGAUGGUAGCAGUGGCCCAAUUCAUGGGAGGCAAAGGAGCUAAGGGUCCAGGUUGCUGGUGGUGAGGGGCUGCCCGGCCCUCCCCUCUGCGCUUUCCUUUCCUUCGCCUGCUCCCUUUGGCCAUUGGGCAGGUGGGUCAGGCAGAGCUGGAGAUAGCAGGUUGGCAGAGGAAGGACCAGCUGGACCAAAGGCACACUCUGGGCUAGAGGGUUGGGUCCCCAGGAGGCCCUGGUGCCCCUGGGCUCGGUAGCCAGCAGCCUGACCACGGAAGCCCCUCUCACUGUCUCGGUAGCACCUUUUAUGCAGUGUCAGAAGCCAGGCUUGUCUGCGUCCAGGCCUGUCGGUGGUGCCCCUGCUGGAAGGACCUGGAGACCUGGUUGUGGCGGGGUGACUCCCCGCUCGACUUGCACCGGGCACUGGAGACCCACGGUGCCCAAGUGGGCCUAGUUUCUGCAGAACGAACCUCGUGGCUACUGGGCUCCUGAAUGCCCCCUGGGGGCACAGGAGGGACCGCCCACCUGCUGGUAGGACGCACCAGGACCACUUCCCGAAGCACUGCCUCUGUUCUCCCGCGGCCCUUGUGCUCAGAAAGCCUCUGUGUGGGGGUGCCCGGCCGGCUCGGGUAGGCAGCAGGGCUGUGGGCACUUGUUGGUACCAUGUUGUUUUGGUUUUCGCCUGUGAAAGAGACUGUGAAGACAGGCAGUGAGGGGCGGGUGUGCACUGAUGCUAACUGAGAGGUGGUCUAAAGCCAGGCCUCGCGAGAGGAAGAAGUCCACAGCUUGACCCGCCCUGAGACGGAGAGGAGGCCAGACAGUCCCAGCACUUCAGCCUGAGGUGCAGGCCCUCGUCAGCUUCCUGCUGUUUCUGGAAGUAACUUAGGAAAUGAGUUGUUUCUCCCCAGGAUGGCCGAGAGCCAAGGUCAGAGCUUGGGCUUCAGUUGGGAGCCGCCGUGCUGCUGCCUUGUGGCCAGAGGACUCAAGGCCUGUUCCACACGCCAGGGCCCCUGGCCAGGUGUCCGUCAGUCACAGAAUCUUACUGGUCGUUUCCUAGAAACGUCAGGCUUCCCUGGAGGCCAGAGUGGGAAGCCCUUCCGAAGGGGCACGUCUGGAAUUUUGUUGAGCCCAGUCCCGUGGAAUCUCUUAAGAAGCUAAGUGAAUCAUGGCAGUGAUGCUGACAGUCCCCAGGUGACAGCAGUGGCAGGUCGAGGCCGGAGUCCGGGGUCCGGGCAGGUCUGGACCCCCCACCACCACCACACACACACUCUCUUGACCCCGAAGCGUCUCCACUUUGGUGGUCGGGAGGCAGGAGCCCUUUCUAAGUUUCUACCGGAUGCACUUCCAGGCCCUCCUCUUGACCGAAGACCCAAGUCCCUGGUCAGUUUCCCUUUUUCCUGUGUGGUCCACCUGUUUGCCUGGUACAGAGUGUUGUCUGAAAGGGCACCCCCAUUUGUGUGCUAGGUGGGAACCACCCUCCGUCUGCUGUGGCGGGAACAGGCGCACGUUGGCCCUCACUCUCAGGCUGUACCCUGUGGCCAGAGCUGGGUGCACCACCAGGCACCAGGGGCGUCCAGCCGCUCUGACCACCUGCGGCCUAAGGUGUGGGAGAGGCCUGCGCCACCCAAGGGCAGCUGCUGGUGUGUUGGUGUCAGUCCGCUUGGUGGCGUGGUCUUUUCUUGUCUUCCUUUGGCUUUAUUCUGUUUUCAAACUGCUUUAGAUAUUACCGCUCACACGCGAGCCUUCCUGCUUCUCUAGUCAGUCAAGCAGCCAGCACCGCUGGAACCUGGCGGUGGGAGCGCACUGGGCUUGGUCACGAGGCUGCCUGAGAAGGCCCUGCCGGGACGGUCUUGCACAUUCUAACUGUGAGCGGUCUGUUCCAGGGGGGCUUGUGCCUGGGGAGAGCCCGCCGCUGCAGCUGGCGGUCCAGGGAGACGUGCAGCCUCCUCGGCACCUGGUGAGGCCACCAGUGCGUGGGGCGGGCACCGGCACGCAGGCUCUCCCUGGAGGGGCCAGGCUCUGCGUGGGCAGAGCUGGGGGGCCCGUCCGUCCUGCCCUGGCACUCAGCAUGGCCUGCCGGGGAAUGCGUGGGGGGUGUGGAAAGUGACCGGUCUCAUUCCUUUCUCUGUAUUCUGAGCUGUGAGCCCGUGUGACACAAGACUUCCCUGUUUGUUUUGCUGUUUGGUUGUGAAUCAUCGCCUGUGGAAUUGGCAAAAGCUCCUUCUUCCUGUCCUUUCAAGCACGGCUGGCGUCUGAGCUGUGGGUGUGGGCAGUGUGUGUACAUAUGUGCAUAUGUAUAUAGCGCAGCGGGCGUGACUGCUGCUGUCCAGGUGAAACAACAGGUGCAGUGACAGUUGGCUCCAGAACGGCCCCUGGUUUCUUGACGGUCCUGGCAGGAGCGGGUCCCGGCAAGCGCCCCACCAGGUGCUCGGAAGGAAACCGGCCUGUGGUGCGCCUGGAAUGGGGGUGGAUGGCUGGGCCGGUGCCUGAGCGCGCCAUGGCAGCCUCCCCUGCUGGUGUCUGCCUCUCCAGGGUAGGGUGCAGGGCUGCCCAGGUGGUGACUGUCUGGCACAAGGGCCACACCCAUCCCUGGGGGCCUCUGCCAUGCUCACCUGACCCAGAGGUGUGUCCCCCAUGACAUUCAGAGGUGGCUGAAAACCCCUCCUUCCCUUGAAACAUUAUAACCAAUUUUCUGAGCAUCAGGUACGAUCAGUGACAAAGCUACGUUCUAAAGGGGCUUCUGUCCUGACUGCAGAUCCACCCUGGAGGGGUCCCCAGGGAGAAAGGGCUGGGCCCGGGGUCCUUCGGGCAGCAGCUCUCGGUUGAUUUUGUCCCCCUAGAAAGUGGGACGAUGUUCUGAACCAGGAAGGCAGCUUACACUGAAUGUACACGUGUGAGAAACCCCAGUGCGGGUGCAGGGACAGCAGCCGUCCGUGCGCUGGUUUCGUCCUGCUGCUGGGACCCGACCUCCGCCCUGAGCCCACGCACACCUGGGGCCGGCUCAGGGCGCGGUGGUCUCCCGUGGUGAUCGUCCCUUGUGUCUGGAUGUUGACCUGUAAUGAAGAUGACUUGUAAAAUAAAUGUUUUCACUGCA